rfam:Salmo salar isolate Sally breed double haploid chromosome ssa03, whole genome shotgun sequence.
GGGGGUAUAGCUCAGUGGUAGAGCAAUUGACUGCAGAUCAUUAGGUCCCUGGUUCAAAUCCGGGUGCCCCCU